AAUGUAGCCAGCCUCCUCUCCAUGGGAUUCUCCAGUUGUUUCUCAAGAAGUACAGCUGAAAAUUGAACCAUAAAGUUUGCCUUGACAGAAAGGCAUUAGCCUACCACACUAAAGCACCAAGAUAGGAGAGACAGUUAUUUAUGAAGAAACACUAUUUGCUAUUAUCCUUGUGAGAUUCUACAAAAGGGCUAAAUAUUGAUGCAUUUCCAAGUCACCUUUCCCCCACUUCUUGUACUAACAAGCAGGAGUGUGUUUUGGAUGCUCCUAAUUUGUCAAGAUCAGAAAAUAACUACCAGAUGUCCCUCCUGUCACUGAAUUUAUGCCUGCAUGCUGCAAUAAAUAGUUUGAUCAUGAAGGAUAUGAUGUUCUAAAAAAUGGAGCCUUCUAUAGCAGUACUACAAUCAUUUACCUUGGAUGUCUGCGACGGACCUCUUUCAAAACAAAAAGAACUCCACCAGGAUGAAAGCCAGAGAAGAGGGUGAUAGUCAUGGCAAGUGGCCGAACAAGAGGCUCCAGAAGCAGAAUCAAGUAUAAAGAAUAAGCAUACAGGAUGCAUGUCUUCUCCGGCAGCCGUUUGGAAACCUGCCCACCAGCAUUAAUGCUCCUGGGAGCAAAUGAACAGAUGGGCACCUCUAAGCUCAGAGACCCACUCAAAGUUACUCAAAAUUAAGAUGUGCCAUUCCUCAAGAGAAAUUACAGUCCAGGAAGAAUUUAUUUACCUGUGACUAACCUAAGAACAGUUAGCAUAGUUGAAAAUUAUAUCCCUCUGAGUCAUCAGGGAAGCCCUGAAAAUUACACACAAAUCAAUUUAAGUUAAAUUCAUGUUAAAUGUGAAGUUUCAGUCCAAAAGGAAUGGUCCUUAUCUGGAUUUUCUAUGUUAGGCCCACAUUCAUUUUUUAUACCAAACAAAUAAGAUUUAGCACCACAACAAUUAAGUGAAUAUGAUGUAGAUGGAUUUGUCAAGUACGCUUUUUAGCUCUAAAGCUUUAAAGUCAAAUUCUAGUAACUGCCAAUAUGAUCCUAUCACAUCCAUACCUGUCCUCUACACCGCAAGUCAGUGUAAUCUGCAGACAGAAAUGAGAAGAAAUUGAACAUAUUUUAUGGCUGUUCUGCUUGAGGGAAGAAGAAUAAGGUAAAUCAAUACUUCUUGUCAUUUCGUAAAAAUACUGUAUUCUCCAAGACAUUUAGCCAGCAUUUGCCCAUUUAAGCAAGGACAAAAACAUAAAAAAGAAAGUUUUUAACUCAGAAAAUUAGCACGUCAAUAUUUCUGGGUCACAGAAAUUGAAGUCAUAGCAUGCACUGCUUCAAAAUCUAAGUUAAAUACAUUCUCAAGGUUGGUUGCUCUCAGUAAUGGCAACUAUCAUUAAGAAAACCUAAAAUUUCAGGAAUGAAGAGUCAUAUUUAA